GGAUUCUGAAUAAUUUAUUUCAGUUUCUAAGUAAUUUUACUGUUGUUGCUUGAGUUUUUUGUCUGUUUACUUUUAUCUAACACUGAACUGCCUGAAAUGGAAUGUGGACAAACAUACUGAAUACACUAAUUUGUUUGCUAUGGUAAACAGGGUGAAAGAAAUGAGAUGUACAUACUCAUUCAUCGUGUCCUGCCUUGUUAAACUAAAUCCUGGGCAAAACGGCAGUCUCCACAUUAACCUUGAACUAUUUUCCAUGUGCAGUUCUGUGCUGCCUGGUUUGUUGCAUAGUGUGUGGGUUUUGCACCAGAGUGGAAAACUGGGUAAUUCAUACAAUGAUUUUGAUUUUAUUAGUCUUGGUGGAUCUUUGAAAGGAAAGAAUACAAUGAUGGGGCUGGUUGUGAUGUCAUCAGCAAGGGCAAGAACUGGGUGUUUUAAGGAUUAUUUCUGUUUUAUUGGUUUCAUUACUCCUUUUUGAGGGAACAGAGGCUGGGGAAUGGUCUGGUAUGACAGGCUUGAGCUGGUUUUACAGUCGCACAACUGGCAUGAAAGGUGUCCAUGUUUUAUGGUGGGUGGGUAAGUGACUUCAGUAAGUGUCUGCUACUUCUUUCAGGUCAACAAGAAGUAAUUUUUCUUAUGAAUCAUCAUCUGUGUUGUGUCCAGCAAAGGGGAAGUAUCUGUGCCAAAAUAGAGAAACAGAGAAAAUUCCUGCACUUCCACACAGCACGUGGGGAGAAAGACACUUGUGUCUGGAGCCAGGAUGGCAGACAGCACCCGUCCCUCUGGCAGCUACACUUUGCUGAAUGCAUUUCAGAGGUUUGUUUUUGUCUUGUGUACACAUCAUCUUUUCUGUCCACUGUCAGAGCAUCUUAAAUGAAGACAUAAUGUAUGACUGUGACAGAGGAGUUUGGUUUCUCUGUGCCAUUCUCUGCUCUUUUGUGACUAUGCAGAAGGACUCGUGCUCGCUGUGGUCGUUGCCUUUUGCCACUAAUUAGAGGAAGAACUGCUCUGGUUUCAUCCCUAAGCUUGCAAGUCUCUCAAAGUCAUGAUGAUGUCACUAUUUUUUAUGUAGCCUGGAUUAUAAAGAUGUAACACUAAAGGAAUGACAGUGAUUAUUUCACGUUGACUGGGUGGUAUCUUCUGAGACUACUAUUUCUUUAGUACCAAUUGUAACUCUAGAUACCACAACACCACUUGCUUCGGUUGAAGGAGAAAAGAAAAAAGCACAGGUGUGAGGAAGUUGCAUUGUACAACUGUGUUAUCUGCAAUGCAGACAAGUGAUUUAUGAUUGCAUGUUUCAUGGAGCUGGAAUGAUAUUGCCAGAGGUAAGAAUAAAGAGGAAAAUUCAACCUCCCUUCAGGUGACAGACAUCUUAAAAAAUAAAGAGGAUCCUUUUGAAUUUUCUGGCAAGUCUCAUCAGGAGAGUCCUACAGCAAAAAGGGAAACGUGUCUUUCCCUUUGCAGGCACUACAACUGCCCCAGAACAACCACUACUCACUGUGUAAGAUCCCUUUGAUAGGCAACCAGGGAAACUGCUGCUGUAGCCACUAGCUGUGCCCAGGCUGCGUUCCCCUUCUGCUAGUGCACACAACUUGCUCUUCUGACAUUGUGCAAUUCCACAGUAAUACAGACAUUUGUUUCAUGGACAACACUGACCACUUUUGCCUUAUAGAAAGAAAUCAGCUCUGUAAUCAGCAGAAUUGAUGACAUUUGGCGUCCUAUGGCUUUCCUUUCCUUCCAAAGCAUGGAAAGUCCCAGGUCCCAGUGGCAGGUAUUGGGAAAACUUGAAAUCGUUCUGCUUCUCAUUGGCUGGACAGGGAUCAAGGGAAAUGAGACUGCUGGGCUGGCAAGAGAACCUCAAUACCAACCUAAAGUUGGCUGAAUAGUAUAAACUUGAAGCAGUGUGAAGUUUUGAUGGUUUUGUUGAUAGUAUUUAGAGCACAGUGUCAUCUAACAGCAAUCACAACUAGAGCUUUAGCAAGAGAGAUGUCUUACACAAGCACAAAAGGUCUGAGCCUUCAAGCAGUUGCUUCUGGUCUGAUCUAAAUCAUGUCUAAUGAGACAGAAGUGUUGAACCCUUGAAUUAACCGCUCUGUUCCUUCUCUGUUUUCAAGUUUGUGCUUUGGGGUUUUUUUCUUUUUGCCAAUUUGAAUCAAUUACAUUAAUUUUGCAGCUCUCCUGUCCUGCAUUGCCUUUCAAAAGUGUUCCUCUUGUUCCGUGACUUCCCCUUAGCUAUUUAAAAGUGUUUUCCGAGGAAGAUCAACACCAGCCUGGGUGCUUGGCCUUGUUUUGGGAACCUUGGGCAUGCCCUGGUGCAGUGCCUGCAGCCACUAGAUGGCACAGGGCGAGGGACUCUACACCCUGAAUAGCAACCUGACGUUUUCAGUCUGUUAAGUAUGAUUAAAGGAUAAAUAAUACUAAAUGUUUCUUUAAUAGGAGAAAAUGCACAGCAUUGACAGUAGUGAUUAAGUUGUAUUAAACAGUUGUUAUUCUGGACACCAGGUGAUUAGUACAUUCAAACCACUUCAUUUCCAGACUUUGGCACUUGGUCAUUACUAACUCAAAUCGUAAAGUUCAGUGAAUCAAGUUGUAAAUAGUUUUAUUGGUUCCGUGUUGGAAAAAAAAUAGAGUGUUGUGAAAUUCCUUGAUGUUUUCAAGUUACGUAUUUCCUAAGCUCUUUUAUGUCUAUUUUCUGUUCUCUAGUUAUUCAUCAUUGCAGAAACGAUAAACUCUGUUUCUGCCUUUGCAUACACUAAACCCAACAUAGUAAUUGAGAGCAGAGAGUUGUGUUCCUGAACGAAUAUGCCAAAUGGAGAGAGCUGCACCUUUGCACUAAGAUCAUAGAAUCAUAGAAUAGUUAGGCUUGGAAAGGAGCUUAAGAUCAACUAGUUCCAACCCCCUGCCCCUGGACACACUGCUGACUGCAUGCCAUAGUUACCUGAGGGAGGAAUUGGCUCCAAGCAUGAGAGGGGAGCUGCUCUUACAGCUCGGGGAGAACGGCCCAGAUUUACAUACAUGCUGACGGCUGCUGGAUAAAACACUGGACCUUCAUGUCUCUGUUGGUUUGUCUUUUGUUUUCUGAAAUAUUUUUCAGCUGUUUGAGAGUUAUUUUAUGUCUAUUAUAUGAUAAAGUUUCCUUCAAAGCAGUUUUUUGUUUUGUUUAAUGAAAGCCUAGGAAUUAAGUUGUAAGAUCUAGAUAUAUUUCAAGGUGUCAGCGCUCUACAACAAGGCUUCUUUAAAGUUCAUUUUAAUACCUUUUAAGUGACUGGGAGCAAGUUUUUGGUUUCUCCAAACCAAGUUGAGGAUUAACUUUAACCUGUUUUGGCUUGAAAAUGGACUGUUAAGUCUGUUUAUGAUUCCAGUGCCUGCUGAAGUGACCCUUGCAUCACUUAAAUGCCACUUUACAAAUUGCUGGCAAGAUGUUUAUGAUGAAGUGCCUUUCUCACUUGUAAGCUAUUUUCAUUGUUGUCUUAGCCUGCUUAACAUCAAGCUGGUUUUCUGUGGGGCCAUAGGUUGUAGAAAUGCAUAUGUUUUACUGGGCUAAAUCCUUGACAUUCUCUUAGGUGUACAUGUAUGUGCCUGUAGAACGUGUGUGUGUGCGUGUGUGUGUGCGUGUGUCUGGGCAAGGCAAGGCAAGACAGCACCAUAACUCCAGGGAAAAUGGAGGAGGUGACUGCGAGUCACCCACUUACUCACUGGCAUAUACUGUGGGAAACCUGUAUUUUGUGGUUUUGAAGAGCACUUGCUUUUUAGACAAGGCAGGCAAGGAGGCAGACAGCCCCUUCUGAUUAACAAAUUUAUCACUUACAGCUCCUGUGUAAAACCAACUGAGUGUCAACCCCAAAAUGAAGAGCUGCAUUGGAAAUCGCACCUAAGUACAGCAGGUGCUGAGCUGGCAGUUUCACAGAAGGUUGUGAAAUUUGAUCACACAAUGGGAAAUAGAGCCACUCCUUGAGGGCAAUAUCUGGAAACAUAAUGGGGAACCACCCUUCAAAGGUGAUCUGUGUAAUAAUGGGGCUUAGAAACACUUUCUACCUGCUUUGCUUACAAAAUGAUGAACGUUUUUAAUAGUGUUACUGGGUUUUGCACAAGCACACUAUAUUUAGCUGCACCUCAACUACUCCUGUGUUCAGACACACCCAGGGCAAUAAACUGCCCAGUGCAUACUUGCUACUACCAUCACUUCAAGGUGGAAACUAUUAAUGAAAUUAUCUGUUCUGCUGAUACCCUGACAUUAUUGUUGACUUCUCUGUCUCCAGAUGACAGCUUUUCACCCCUGUUCUUCUGGGAGCUAAGCAUCUGUACAUCCCCCUUGUGUAACUUUCACUGCAGCCCUUUUCUGGUAAGUCGCUAACCUUGAUAUACUCAUAUAUGCUAAUGAACAUGGAACACCCAGUGUUAUUGCAUUGGCCCCAUGACACUCUGUGCUACUUGAUGUCUCUCUUCUUUCUUCUUGAGAUUGCCAUAAAGAUUGCACCUGUGCUCCUGCAUGUAGUUAUGCACACCACAGCCUCUGAAUAAUGUAGACUAAUAGAAAAGACUUCAAAGAAUCAUAACACACUUUUAAAGGGCUGGAAGGAGAGGCUGAUGGGAUAUGUUAUAAGAAUGCUCUAUUUCCUGCUUAGCUAAGCAGUAAUUUAGAAGGACAUGUAAACUCUGGGCAAGUGUUUCAAAGAAAACAAAAAGCAAACAAAAGCUAUGCACAGUGCCCUGAUGCUGUAGACAAAGAGCAAAGAAGGGAGAGGCUUCCAGCAAAUCAUCUGCUUGAGUUUGUCAUUUUUGGGUGCUCAGACACAGGAUGAGCAGGGUAAUGAAAAUAUUUAGACAGAUUUAUGUUAUUUGAUAGAGGUAAAUGCAAAAGGAAAGAAGGUGAGUGAGUGGUUUAGCAGUGGCCUGAGCAAGUCAUUAUGUGAUUGAAAUCAAUUACCCAGGAGCUCAUUAGCAAAAGAGAAUAAAUGCCUUUCCUUCUCGUGCUGUGGAUAGUUUAUUGGAUCCCUAUCACAUGUCAAAUCAAACACUACCUUUCAAAGCCGCUGAAGGAUUAAUACCAAACUGUUCUUCCUGAGUAGGUGAUUUUUCAGAGCAAUGAAGCCAUGAAUGCAAAGGGAAUCAGUGAGCAGCAGACACAAGAACUGUCUUGACAGUUGGAACUGGAAAUAAACUACUGCAGGUCAGUGAAUUCUAACAUCUCAUAAAUCACAUGUACACUGCACUCUGUCCUUGUCACCUCAUAAUUACCAUAGAGAAAGAAAGAAGAUUCUGAAGAGCAUGCAUGCUAUUUUAGAGUGAAAUUCACCCAUGUUCACUCUCAUUGAACCUGUAGGGUUCAAGUGGGACUUCAGAAAUGCAAUAGACUUUGGGCAGGCAACAACAAAACAAAGCAUUUAGUGCAGGGUUCAAGGGCACCUAUUGUAUAACUGGUGUGUCUGAGCCCAUUUAUGGCACUAAGUGCUUGAUUUGACAAA